UGGGGAAUAUUGCACAAUGGGCGCAAGCCUGAUGCAGCCAUGCCGCGUGUGUGAAGAAGGCCUUCGGGUUGUAGAGCACUUUCAGCGGGGAGGAAGGCGAUAAGGUUAAUAACCUUGUCGAUUGACGUUACCCGCAGAAGAAGCACCGGCUAACUCCGUGCCAGCAGCCGCGGUAAUACGGAGGGUGCAAGCGUUAAUCGGAAUUACUGGGCGUAAAGCGCACGCAGGCGGUCUGUCAAGUCGGAUGUGAAAUCCCCGGGCUUAACCUGGGAACUGCAUUCGAAACUGGCAGGCUAGAGUCUUGUAGAGGGGGGUAGAAUUCCAGGUGUAGCGGUGAAAUGCGUAGAGAUCUGGAGGAAUACCGGUGGCGAAGGCGGGCCCCUGGACAAAGACUGACGCUCAGGUGCGAAAGCGUGGGGAGCAAACAGG
rnacentral:rRNA from 1 species